rnacentral:rRNA from 1 species
UUGGAGGGCAAGUCUGGUGCCAGCAGCCGCGGUAAUUCCAGCUCCAAUAGCGUAUAUUAAAGUUGUUGCAGUUAAAAAGCUCGUAGUUGAAUUUCGGGGUUCUACCGUUGGUCGGGCUUUGUCUGUACUGGCGUGUAGAAUUUCUACCUUCUGGGGAACCAUCAUGCUAUUAAUUUAGCGUGGUGGGAAACCAGGACCUUUACCUUGAAAAAAUUAGUGUGCUCAAAGCAGGCUUAUGUCUGAAUACAUUAGCGUGGAAUAAUAGAAUAGGACGGUGGUCCUGUUUUGUUGGUUUCUGAAUCACCGUAAUGAUUAAUAGGGAUAGUUGGGGGCAUUAGUAUUCAAUUGUCAGAGGUGAAAUUCUUGGAUUUAUUGAAGACUAACUUCUGCGAAAGCAUUUGCCAAGGAUGUUUUCAUUAAUCAAGAACGAAAGUUAGGGGAUCGAAGACGAUCAGAUACCGUCGUAGUCUUAACCAUAGACUAUGCCGACUAGGGAUCGGACGAUGUUAAUUUUUCUUGACUCGUUCGGCGCCUUACGGGAAAC